AUUGAACGCUGGCGGCAGGCCUAACACAUGCAAGUCGAGCGGAGCGGCGGACGGGUGAGUAAUGCCUAGGAAUCUGCCUGGUUGUGGGGGAUAACGUCCGGAAACGGGCGCUAAUACCGCAUACUAUCAGAUGAGCCUAGGUCGGAUUAGCUAGUGGGUGGGGUAAAGGCCUACCUAGGCGACGAUCCGUAACUGGUCUGAGAGGAUGAUCAGUCACACUGGAACUGAGACACGGUCCAGACUCCUACGUGCGGCAGCAGUGGGGAAUAUUGGACAAUGGGCGCAAGCCUGAACCAGCCAUGCCGCGUGUGUGAAGAAGGUCUGCGGAUUGUAAAGCACUUUAAGUUGGGAGGCGUUACCAACAGAAUAAGCACCGGCUAACUUCGUGCCAGCAGCCGCGGUAAUAC
rnacentral:rRNA from 1 species